rnacentral:rRNA from 1 species
AUUGAACGCUGGCGGCAGGCCUAACACAUGCAAGUCGAGCGAGCGGCGGACGGGUGAGUAAUGUCUGGGAAACUGCCUGAUGGAGGGGGAUAACUACUGGAAACGGUAGCUAAUACCGCAUACCAUCAGAUGUGCCCAGAUGGGAUUAGCUAGUAGGUGGGGUAACGGCUCACAUCGGCGACGCACCCUAGCUGGUCUGAGAGGAUGACCAGCCACAUGGGAACUGAGCCACGGUCCAGACUCCUACGGGAGGCAGGAGUGGAGAAUGUUGCACAAUGGGCGCAAGCCUGAUGCAGCCAUGCCGCGUGUGUGAAGAAGGCCUUCGGGUUGUAAAGCACUUUCAGCGGGGAGGCGUUACCCGCAGAAGAAGCACCGGCUAACUCCGUGCCAGCAGCCGCGGUAAUUC